ACAAGAUGAGGUGGUUUGGGUAUUUUAUUUCUUGCUUCCCCUUUCCCCCCACAAGUGGCCAAAAGCCAAAACUCUCCUAGUGAAUGCCUCUCCCGGAGUGGGAAAAGCUGCCUUGUUUCAUUAAUGUUACUCCUUUUCCCCAAGAAGAGAAGGAAAAGUAUUCCCAUUAUUUUAGCUCUGGAGAAGCCUCAAGUAUUUAUAGAGUCAUGGAAGAUGUACUGAGCCCAGCCUUAUUUUCUCCCCCCACUUUGUUACCACCAGAUAUCAAAGGAGAAGAGGGGAAGAGAGAGCAGAAAAAAGCAAUCACCUGAGAAGUUGGAUACGGUGCUAUAGGGCACCACGGGUACACCUCUACUGUGAAGGAAAGCAAAUUGCAGAGAGGGAACUGAACAUCUUGCUGUCUUCAGGCUCAUAUUCAGUCUUCAUUUGAUGAACCAGAGAGCAAAAAAGGAAGAUCUGCUUCCUCUCUCCAAAGAAGAUGUGAAAUUGCUUCUUCAGUGCUGUCUUGUUGAGUUGAAAGAACCUGGUUCUUCUCACUAAAGUAAGCUAUCUCAUGCAUGAAAAUCAUCAUAAGGAACAGGAGCCUUUUCUUCAAGACACCAAAACUGAUGGUAUUUCAAUCCUAUCAUUUUUAAUUCUGACCUUACCUCUGCCA